UGACCUGAAUCAGGUAGGCAGUGUAUUGUUAGCUGGCUGCUUGGGUCAAGUCAGCAGCCACAACUACCCUGCCACUUGCUUCUGGAUAA
rnacentral:pre_miRNA from 6 species